AAAUGAAUUGACGGGGACCCGCACAAGCGGCGGAGCAUGCGGAUUAAUUCGAUGCAACGCGAAGAACCUUACCAAGGCUUGACAUACACGAGAACACCGUAGAAAUACGGGACUCUUUGGACACUCGUGAACAGGUGGUGCAUGGUUGUCGUCAGCUCGUGUCGUGAGAUGUUGGGUUAAGUCCCGCAACGAGCGCAACCCUCGUUCUAUGUUGCCAGCACGUAAUGGUGGGAACUCAUGGGAUACUGCCGGGGUCAACUCGGAGGAAGGUGGGGAUGACGUCAAAUCAUCAUGCCCCUUAUGUCUUGGGCUUCACGCAUGCUACAAUGGCCGGUACAAAGGGCUGCAAUACCGCGAGGUGGAGCGAAUCCCAAAAAGCCGGUCCCAGUUCGGAUUGAGGUCUGCAACUCGACCUCAUGAAGUCGGAGUCGCUAGUAAUCGCAGAUCAGCAACGCUGCGGUGAAUACGUUCCCGGGUCUUGUACACACCGCCCGU
rnacentral:rRNA from 1 species